GAUGAAGAACGUAGCGAAAUGCGAUAAGUAGUGUGAAUUGCAGAAUUCAGUGAAUCAUCGAAUCUUUGAACGCACAUUGCGCCCUUUGGUAUUCCUUAGGGCAUGCCUGUUCGAGCGUCAUUUAAACCUUCAAGCUAAGCUUGGUGUUGGGUGACUGUCCGCUUCACGGCGGACUCGCCUCAAAAUUAUUGGCGGCCGGUACAUUGGCUUCGAGCGCAGCAGAAACGCGAACUCGGGCCCGUCGUAUUGGCUCCCAGAAGCUAUCUUCACAAUUUUGACCUCGGAUCAGGUAGGGAUACCCGCUGUACUUAAGCAUAUCAAUAAGCGGAGGA
rnacentral:misc_RNA from 1 species